UACAGAGGGUGCGAGCGUUGUUCGGAAUUACUGGGCGUAAAGCGCGCGUAGGUGGUCUUUUAAGUCCGACUGUGAAAUCCCGGGGCUCAACCCCGUGGGCUGCAGGGGAUACUGGGAGACUGGAGACACGUAGAGGCAAGCGGAAUUCCGGGUGUAGCGGUGAAAUGCGUAGAUAUCGUCUGGAACGCCGAAGGUGAAAACAGCUCGCUGGGGCUGCGCUGACGCUGAGACACGAAAGCCAGGGGAGCGAACAGG
rnacentral:rRNA from 1 species